AUGAAUUCUCGUAUUGUUUGUUGGAAUCUUGCCUUUCUAAUUCUUGUUGUGGCAAAGAAAAAAUUGAAAGAGCAAGAAAUCAUCCAGCGAACGUUGAAGGAUUAUGAUUGGCGUGUGCGACCACGUGGCAAUAAUCUUUCCUGGCCAGAUACGGGUGGUCCAGUAUUGGUCUCUGUAAACAUAUAUUUGCGAUCAAUUUCAAAAAUUGAUGACGUUAACAUGGAAUAUAGUGCACAAUUCACGUUUCGAGAAGAAUGGAAUGACGCGCGUUUGGCGUAUGAACGUCUAGCGGAUGAGAAUACUCAAGUACCACCGUUCGUAGUACUGGCAGCUAGUGAACAGCCUGAUUUAACGCAGCAAAUUUGGAUGCCGGAUACUUUUUUUCAAAAUGAAAAAGAAGCAAGACGACAUCUUAUUGACAAACCUAAUGUACUUAUUAGAAUACAUCCAGAUGGUCAAAUAUUGUACAGUGUCAGGCUUUCAUUGGUAUUGUCAUGUCCGAUGUCCUUGGAGUAUUAUCCAUUGGAUCGGCAGACGUGUCUUAUUGAUCUUGCAAGCUAUGCAUACACUACUGACGAUAUUAAAUACGAAUGGAAAGUGAAGAAUCCGAUUCAGCAGAAGGAAGGCUUACGACAAAGUCUACCAAGUUUCGAGCUUCAAGAUGUCUUGACGGAAUACUGUACGAGUAAAACAAAUACAGGUGAAUAUAGCUGUUUGAGGACAAUAAUGAUUUUACGACGCGAAUUCAGCUACUACCUAUUGCAGCUCUAUAUACCUUCAUUCAUGCUGGUGAUCGUCUCAUGGGUAAGCUUUUGGCUCGACAAAGAUUCGGUACCUGCGCGUGUUACCCUUGGUGUAACAACUCUUCUAACGAUGACCACACAAAGUUCGGGUAUCAACGCUAAACUUCCCCCUGUUUCCUAUACAAAGGCAAUAGAUGUUUGGAUUGGUGUUUGCUUAGCCUUCAUUUUUGGUGCAUUGCUUGAAUUCGCCUUGGUCAAUUAUGCGGCAAGAAAGGAUAUAACUACUAGACAUCGAAUGUUCUCAAAAUAUGCCAGUCAUGUGGAUUACUUAUCCGCUAAUCAACCCUUAGUAUCAGCAACAACUUCUACAUCGCCUUCCGACUCUUGGCGGUGUUUCCGGCAAUUUAUCCGACGCUACAAAGAACGCUCCAAGCGAAUUGAUGUUGUUUCACGCUUGGUAUUUCCGAUUGGUUACGCCUGCUUCAACGUGUUCUACUGGGCUGUUUAUCUCAUUUAACAAAAGCUUGGAAUACAGUAACCUAUGCUUGUGCUACCGAAUUGUAUACUGUAGAUAUAUAUGACUGUAUUGUACUAUUAUUGACCGAUUAAAUUGGCGCUACUUUUUGCUCAAAUUAUCUUUACUCUUCGAGAAAACACAUCUAUGCUUAUAUUAUUAUUUAUUUUCAAAAAAAAAAAAAAAAAAGAAAUGCAAUGCAGAAUUGCUCGAACUGUUCUGCAUUACUGUUCAGGAGCAAGCUGUAUACCUGAUGGUUGCCUACUGUAGUACUGUUGCAGGUGAAUACAGUUGUGCUCGUGUACUGCUACUUCUUCGUCGUGAAUACAGUUAUUAUUUAAUUCAGCUUUAUAUACCGUGCAUUAUGUUGGUCGUCGUUUCCUGGGUCUCUUUCUGGCUCGAUAAGGAUGCAGUACCUGCCCGUGUAUCAUUGGGCGUAACUACAUUGCUAACGAUGACUACACAAGCAUCUGGCAUCAAUGCCAAACUUCCGCCUGUAUCUUAUAUCAAAGCAGUUGAUGUUUGGAUUGGUGUAUGUCUAGCAUUUAUCUUCGGAGCUUUGUUAGAAUAUGCAUUGGUCAACUAUCAUGGACGUCAAGAAUUUUUGAAAAAAGAAAAAAAAAAGAAGACCGAAUACAAGGGUUGUUUAUGCCCAUCAGAUCAACUCUUAAAUCAAGAUCUAAGGCAAUCGUUACGAUUGGAUAGGAAUAUAUACCGAAGAAGAUGGUGGACAAAACUUUGGUUAAAUCCAUAUCAUUGUAGCAAUGUUGAAGUUAGCAAACGUGUAGAUCUCAUUUCACGAUUCGCUUUUCCAGCUUCUUUUGGUUGCUUCCUUGUGUUUUAUUAUGUGAAUUAUGUGAACUGA
rnacentral:misc_RNA from 13 species